GACAGAGGGGACAAGCGUUGCUCGGAAUUACUGGGCGUAAAGGGCGCGUAGGCGGGAUGGCAAGUCGGUCGUGAAAUCCCUCGGCUCAACUGAGGAUCGUCGAUCGAUACUGCCGUUCUUGAGGAUUGCAGAGGAGACUGGAAUUCCCGGUGUAGCGGUGAAAUGUGUAGAGAUCGGGAGGAACACCGGUGGCGAAGGCGGGUCUCUGGGCAAUUCCUGACGCUGAGGCGCGAAAGCGUGGGGAGCAAACGGG
rnacentral:rRNA from 1 species